CAGUAGCCGCGGGAAUACAGAGGGUGCAAGCGUUAAUCGGAUUUACUGGGCGUAAAGGGCGCGUAGGUGGUUAUUUAAGUGAGAUGUGAAAUCCCCGGGCUUAACCUGGGAACUGCAUCUUAUACUGGGUAACUGGAGUGCAGUAGAGGGUAGUGGAAUUUCCGGUGUAGCGGUGAAAUGCGUAGAUAUCGGAAGGAACACCAGUGGCGAAGGCGGCUACCUGGACUGAGACUGACACUGAGGCGCGAGAGCGUGGGGAGCAAACAGGAUUAGAUACCCCAGUAGUCCCUGUCUCUUAUAC
rnacentral:rRNA from 1 species